GACGAACGCUGGCGGCGUGCUUAACACAUGCAAGUCGAACGGAAAGGCCCUGCUUGCAGGGUACUCGAGUGGCGAACGGGUGAGUAACACGUGGGUGAUCUGCCCUGCACUUCGGGAUAAGCCUGGGAAACUGGGUCUAAUACCGGAUAGGAGCCAUUUUUAGUGUGAUGGUUGGAAAGUUUUUUCGGUGUAGGAUGAGCUCGCGGCCUAUCAGCUUGUUGGUGGGGUAGUGGCCUACCAAGGCGGCGACGGGUAGCCGGCCUGAGAGGGUGGACGGCCACAUUGGGACUGAGAUACGGCCCAGACGCCUACGGGAGGCAGCAGUGGGGAAUAUUGCACAAUGGGCGCAAGCCUGAUGCAGCGACGCCGCGUGGGGGAUGACGGCCUUCGGGUUGUAAACUCCUUUCGCUAGGGACGAAGCUUUUUGUGACGGUACCUAGAUAAGAAGCACCGGCUAACUACGUG
rnacentral:rRNA from 1 species